rnacentral:rRNA from 1 species
UUUUUGUACUGCUCAGGGCGAACGCUGGCGGCGUGCCUAAUACAUGCAAGUCGAGCGGACAGAAGGGAGCUUGCUCCCGGAUGUUAGCGGCGGACGGGUGAGUAACACGUGGGUAACCUGCCUGUAAGACUGGGAUAACUCCGGGAAACCGGAGCUAAUACCGGAUAGUUCCUUGAACCGCAUGGUUCAAGGAUGAAAGACGGUUUCGGCUGUCACUUACAGAUGGACCCGCGGCGCAUUAGCUAGUUGGUGGGGUAAUGGCUCACCAAGGCGACGAUGCGUAGCCGACCUGAGAGGGUGAUCGGCCACACUGGGACUGAGACACGGCCCAGACUCCUACGGGAGGCAGCAGUAGGGAAUCUUCCGCAAUGGACGAAAGUCUGACGGAGCAACGCCGCGUGAGUGAUGAAGGUUUUCGGAUCGUAAAGCUCUGUUGUUAGGGAAGAACAAGUGCGAGAGUAACUGCUCGCACCUUGACGGUACCUAACCAGAAAGCCACGGCUAACUACGUGCCAGCAGCCGCGGUAAUACGUAGGUGGCAAGCGUUGUCCGGAAUUAUUGGGCGUAAAGGGCUCGCAGGCGGUUUCUUAAGUCUGAUGUGAAAGCCCCCGGCUCAACCGGGGAGGGUCAUUGGAAACUGGGAAACUUGAGUGCAGAAGAGGAGAGUGGAAUUCCACGUGUAGCGGUGAAAUGCGUAGAGAUGUGGAGGAACACCAGUGGCGAAGGCGACUCUCUGGUCUGUAACUGACGCUGAGGAGCGAAAGCGUGGGGAGCGAACAGGAUUAGAUACCCUGGUAGUCCACGCCGUAAACGAUGAGUGCUAAGUGUUAGGGGGUUUCCGCCCCUUAGUGCUGCAGCUAACGCAUUAAGCACUCCGCCUGGGGAGUACGGUCGCAAGACUGAAACUCAAAGGAAUUGACGGGGGCCCGCACAAGCGGUGGAGCAUGUGGUUUAAUUCGAAGCAACGCGAAGAACCUUACCAGGUCUUGACAUCCUCUGACAACCCUAGAGAUAGGGCUUUCCCUUCGGGGACAGAGUGACAGGUGGUGCAUGGUUGUCGUCAGCUCGUGUCGUGAGAUGUUGGGUUAAGUCCCGCAACGAGCGCAACCCUUGAUCUUAGUUGCCAGCAUUCAGUUGGGCACUCUAAGGUGACUGCCGGUGACAAACCGGAGGAAGGUGGGGAUGACGUCAAAUCAUCAUGCCCCUUAUGACCUGGGCUACACACGUGCUACAAUGGACAGAACAAAGGGCUGCAAGACCGCAAGGUUUAGCCAAUCCCAUAAAUCUGUUCUCAGUUCGGAUCGCAGUCUGCAACUCGACUGCGUGAAGCUGGAAUCGCUAGUAAUCGCGGAUCAGCAUGCCGCGGUGAAUACGUUCCCGGGGCCUUGUACACACCGCCCGUCACACCACGAGAGUUUGCAACACCCGAAGUCGGUGAGGUAACCUUUAUGGAGCCAGCCGCCGAAGGUGGGGCAGAUGAUUGGGGUGAGCUACAA